CGCCAUUUGACUCAGAUCCAAAAAUUUUAAACGCCAAAGCCCGAAAAAUUAAAACCCUUCGCUUUACUAUAACAUGAAACAUAUCUCCAAACAAAAAAAAAUCUCCCAAAUCGAAGAAAGAGAUUUGUUCGUGUGAGGUCUCUUCGACUCCGCCAUAGCCUCCACCGUGAAGCUCGUCGUCGGCCUCCACCGUGAAGCUCGUCGCCGGCCUCAAUUCGUGUUCACCGUGAAGCUCGUCGCCGGCCUCAUUUCGUGUUCACCGUGAAGAUCGUCGCCGGCUUGGGUUCGUGUCCACCGUGAAGCUCGUCGCCAUCACGAAACAAAGUAAAGAUUUGAAUAUAUCUAUUCUCCUGUUCUGAAAAUUGGAGACUUGUUGAUUGAGGCCAGUCAAUUGAAAAUUGGAGACUUGUUGAUUGAGGCCAGUCAAAAAUUGGGGUUACUGCUUGAUCAGCUUAGGCACCCUGCAGCAAAAUCUCUAAAUAGCUCGACGAUUAUUGUUCUCAUCAACAGCCUUUAAUCAGUUGCAAAGAAACGUCAUGCAUACUGUGGAAAAAUUCUACAUGUUCUACUGAGCUUGAAUCCCCUAAGCUUUCUCAAGGAGUGCAUGCUGCAGCAGCAAAUCUUGCCUUGAAGACUAUAUUUCUCUCAUGCUUGAAAUGUACACAUCCCACUGCCCGAAAAAUUAAAACCCUUUGCAAUUUUCUGUAUGUUGUCAAUUUUCUCCAGUGGAAGGACCGGUUGAUCAGUGCUCCUAAAGAGAUAGAAGGUGGAGGUCGGGCAGCCAAAGCAAAAGAUCUCUUUUACAAGACUAACGGAAGCACUCAAGAUAAAGACAGUGUAGAGGAUACCAAGGUGAAGGAGGAGCACGAUCAUGAAAGGAAGGUGUUUAGGAGAAGGAGCUUUCAUGUUGUUGCAGGAGCUUAAGUGUUGUGUUGGUCUUAAACAUGACGUGACUCAACAGUUCUUCAUGAAGUGUCAUCACUCAAAAAUCUUUUGUUUUAUGUAGCCUACCGACAUGAAUGCUAAUAGGAACAAUUGUUCAGAUCGAAGUUUUAUCUGUCCUGCUUUUGAUGAGGAGGCGAAAUAGAUAGAAGAGAAGAAAUUGAAUAGAUCGAAGUGUCUCUGUCCUUAUGAUGUUAGUAUAAGACUUGUAGGAUGUUAUGUAAGACUUGUCCUUAUGAUGUUAGUAUAAGAUUUGUAGGAUGUUAUGUACGACUUGUUUGGCUAAUUGGUUAAUGUAAUUUUACUUGUUGAUGAUUUAUAUAAUAUAAAAAUUAUAUUAA